rnacentral:rRNA from 1 species
CCUACGGGCGGCAGCAGUGAGGAAUAUUGGUCAAUGGACGAGAGUCUGAACCAGCCAAGUAGCGUGAAGGAUGACUGCCCUAUGGGUUGUAAACUUCUUUUAUAUGGGAAUAAAACGUUCCACGUGUGGGAUUUUGUAUGUACCAUAUGAAUAAGGAUCGGCUAACUCCGUGCCAGCAGCCGCGGUAAUACGGAGGAUCCGAGCGUUAUCCGGAUUUAUUGGGUUUAAAGGGAGCGUAGGUGGAUUGUUAAGUCAGUUGUGAAAGUUUGCGGCUCAACCGUAAAAUUGCAGUUGAAACUGGCAGUCUUGAGUACAGUAGAGGUGGGCGGAAUUCGUGGUGUAGCGGUGAAAUGCUUAGAUAUCACGUAGAACUCCGAUUGCGAAGGCAGUUCACUGGACUGCAACUGACACUGAGGCUCGAAAGUGUGGGUAUCAAACAGGAUUAGAUACCCGAGUAGUC